rnacentral:rRNA from 1 species
UACGGGGGGGGCAAGCGUUGUUCGGAAUUACUGGGCGUAAAGGGCUCGUAGGCGGCCCACUAAGUCAGACGUGAAAGCCCUCGGCUUAACCGGGGAACUGCGUCUGAUACUGGCAGGCUUGAGAUUGGGAGAGGGAUGCGGAAUUCCAGGUGUAGCGGUGAAAUGCGUAGAUAUCUGGAGGAACACCGGUGGCGAAGGCGGCAUCCUGGACCAACACUGACGCUGAGGAGCGAAAGCCAGGGGAGCAAACAGG